CUAGCUUGCUAGAAGAUGACGAGUGGCGGACGGGUGAGUAAUGCUUGGGAACUUGCCUUUAGGAGGGGGAUAACAGUUGGAAACGACUGCUAAUACCGCAUAAUGUCUACGGACCAAAGGGGGCUUCGGCUCUCACCUAAAGAGAGGCCCAAGUGAGAUUAGCUAGUUGGUAAGGUAAAAGCUUACCAAGGCGACGAUCUCUAGCUGUUCUGAGAGGAAGAUCAGCCACACUGGGACUGAGACACGGCCCAGACUCCUACGGGAGGCAGCAGUGGGGAAUAUUGCACAAUGGGGGAAACCCUGAUGCAGCCAUGCCGCGUGUGUGAAGAAGGCCUUCGGGUUGUAAAGCACUUUCAGUUGUGAGGAAAGGUUGGUAGUUAAUACCUGCCAGCUGUGACGUUAACAACAGAAGAAGCACCGGCUAACUCCGUGCCAGCAGCCGCGGUAAUACGGAGGGUGCGAGCGUUAAUCGGAAUUACUGGGCGUAAAGCGCACGCAGGCGGUUUGUUAAGCUAGAUGUGAAAGCCCCGGGCUCAACCUGGGAUGGUCAUUUAGAACUGGCAGACUAGAGUCUUGGAGAGGGGAGUGGAAUUCCAGGUGUAGCGGUGAAAUGCGUAGAUAUCUGGAGGAACAUCAGUGGCGAAGGCGGCUCCCUGGCCAAAGACUGACGCUCAUGUGCGAAAGUGUGGGUAGCGAACAGGAUUAGAUACCCUGGUAGUCCACACCGUAAACGCUGUCUACUAGCUGUUUGUGAAUUUAAUUCGUGAGUAGCGAAGCUAACGCGAUAAGUAGACCGCCUGGGGAGUACGGCCGCAAGGUUAAAACUCAAAUGAAUUGACGGGGGCCCGCACAAGCGGUGGAGCAUGUGGUUUAAUUCGAUGCAACGCGAAGAACCUUACCUACACUUGACAUGCAGAGAACUUUCCAGAG
rnacentral:rRNA from 1 species